AGUGAACGCUGGCGGUAGGCCUAACACAUGCCAGUCGAACGGCAGCACAGUAAGAGCUUGCUCUUACGGGUGGCGAGUGUCGGACGGGUGAGGAAUACAUCGGAAUCUACUUUUUCGUGGGGGAUAACGUAGGGAAACUUACGCUAAUACCGCAUACGACCUACGGGUGAAAGCAGGGGAUCUUCGGACCUUGCGCGAUUGAAUGAGCCGAUGUCGGAUUAGCUAGUUGGCGGGGUAAAGGCCCACCAAGGCGACGAUCCGUAGCUGGUCUGAGAGGAUGAUCAGCCACACUGGAACUGAGACACGGUCCAGACUCCUACGGGAGGCAGCAGUGGGGAAUAUUGGACAAUGGGCGCAAGCCUGAUCCAGCCAUACCGCGUGGGUGAAGAAGGCCUUCGGGUUGGAAAGCCCUUUUGUUGGGAAAGAAAAGCAGCAGGUUAAUACCCCGCUGUUCUGACGGUACCCAAAGAAUAAGCACCGGCUAACUUCGUG
rnacentral:rRNA from 1 species